rnacentral:tRNA from 1 species
UCCUCCGUGGCCUAAUGGAUAAGGCAUCGGUCUCCUAAACCGGGGAUUGUGGGUUCGAGUCCCACCGGAGGUGAA